rnacentral:rRNA from 1 species
AGAGUUUGAUCCUGGCUCAGGAUGAACGCUGGCGGCGUGCCUAACACAUGCAAGUCGAGCGGAGUUAUUUUCAGGAAGCUUUCGGGUGGAAUGAACUUAACUUAGCGGCGGACGGGUGAGUAACGCGUGGACAACCUACCCUGUACAGGGGGAUAACAAUGGGAAACCAUUGCUAAUACCCCAUAACACCUUUUAGGGGCAUCCCUUUAAGGUCAAAGAAUUUCGGUACAGGAUGGGUCCGCGUCUGAUUAGCUAGUUGGUGAGGUAAUGGCUCACCAAGGCGACGAUCAGUAGCCGGCCUGAGAGGGUGAACGGCCACACUGGAACUGAGACACGGUCCAGACUCCUACGGGAGGCAGCAGUGGGGAAUAUUGCACAAUGGGCGAAAGCCUGAUGCAGCAACGCCGCGUGAGCGAUGAAGGCUUUCGGGUCGUAAAGCUCUGUCCUAAGGGAAGAUAAUGACGGUACCUUAGGAGGAAGCCCCGGCUAANUNCGUGCCAGCAGCCGCGGUAAUUC